GCAGAGAGGCUGGAAACGGCAGAGGAGGAAGAAGAAAGAAAAGAAAAGAGAAAGGAAAAAAAAGAAGAGGAAAAGGGAAAGGGAAAAAGAGGAGGAGAAAAAGGAAGAAAAAUAGGUAGUUCAAGCUUGUUUCCAUUCUCCUUUUUCUAUAUUUUCUUCAAGAGGUAAAGGAAUGAUUUUAUGUUAAAUUUCUAGGGUUUUAACUUGUAUAAAUUUCAUAUUUAAGAAACUAAGAGUACAAAUUGGAGCUCAAUUUUGUUGAUUCUUUAAUCUCCAAUUUCAUUAAGGCAAGGAUACCAAUUUUUGGCAAACCCUCGAUUUUAUAUUGGAUACUUGAGUAAGGAUUAAUUGUGAACAUGAUUAUGGUGAUGAUAUAUUAACUUGAAAGAAUGGAUCUAUGGAAUAAGAGGUAAAUUAGAUUGGUGCAAGUGGGAAUUCAAGUUUCAAUAGAUUAGAAUAAAGAAUUAUUUCUAUGUUUGGUAUCUAGUUAAUUAUGAUAAUUUAAAGAUUAGUGAAAGGCUAGAAGGUAAAAUUUGUUUCAAUUGUGAAGGAAACUAAAGAAUAUAUUCAAGUGCCGAAAAGUCAAGUUCUAAAAUUUCAUAAUUAAAUGUUAAGAGAUACUUAGUAUGGGAGUUGUUAAAUUAGUUAUCUUACAUCGGAUUUCAGGUGAUGACGUGAAAGCUUGACAAGGCUGGUCAAUUUGACCAGAUUGCUAUCUAUAGAUCUGUUAGUGGAGAACCUAUUUUUUCAAAAAGAAGAUUUUCUUUUUAUUUUAUAGAAGCAUAUUAAUUACAUGAAAUGUCUUAUUUUCGAGAAAUUGGUAAAUGAUCAUGAUUAUUUUGAAAUUAUCAGAAAACAACUGAUGUAAUUAUCUUACUCUAGUGCACUGAGGGGCUACGGCCGUAUACUAGAGUCAUGUAUUUUAUUCUUAUACACUGAGGGGCUAUAGCCAUGUAUAAGAAUGAUUAUGUUUCCAUCUUGUACACUGAGGGGCUAUGGUCGCGUACUAGAGUCGUGUAUUUAACUCCUAUGCACUGGGGGGCUACAGCCGUGUGUAAGGGUAACUCUUAUCCACUGAGGGGCUACGGCCGUAGGUAAAUGCAUAUAUUAUACUCUAAGGGGCUACCGUCGUGUAUAAAGAUGAUUAUGUUGUUUCCAUCUUGUACACUGAGGGGCUACGAUCGUAUACAUAUUAUUGAUCAGACGGUUUAUGUGCAUAUGAUUUAUAGAUUUCAAAUCAUUAGUAGAUGUUUACAUGGGAUAUAUUUUGAUGUGAAUUUUAAGUAUAUAGGGGAUUAUUAGCCUACAACUUACAUUUCCCCGUUUACAGUUCAACUUAUGGAUUUCAGAUUAUAGAGUUCUGUUUAUUCAGUUUUAAGAAUAAAGCUUCCGGCUUACGAUAUUGAGCAACC
rnacentral:lncRNA from 1 species